GGGGAUGUAGCUCCGUGGUAGAAUGCUUGCCUGGCAUGCAUGGGGCCCUGGGUUCAAUCCCUAGUACCCCA
rnacentral:tRNA from 1 species